CUGAUGUUAAGAGCAUGUACAGAAUAGAAUAAUGUUGGCCUAUAAACACACACACGUUCUGUUGUAUUUGUAUCUUAAGCAUCGGAUCAAUCGGAAUGAUUGAAUAUCAUUAAGAGUCAGCCCUCAGUGACCUUUUGGGAUCGUGUUACAAUCACCGUGACGACGAGAAGGUCAGUCUAUCUCUAUUCCCACACCCCCGCCCCCCAACUCAAAACAAGACGGGUCACGGCAACAAAGGGUUUGGCGGUGUGGUUAAGAGGUCAGAGGUCGCGACCUUACCACUUUCAUACUGUGGUGAAGAAACUGCAGGCUUUACGCGGCACACUAGCUGCUAAUUAACAGCAAGUUUGUAUAAAGUUCCAGCACUUCUGCCGUCCUUCAGAAGCUAGGCUGUUUCAUGUCCUUGUGGUGUGCUUCUGUUUCAUCCUCUUAAGUAUUUAUGCAAGCGCUGGUGGUUUUGAUUAUCCGUCGGCUGUUUAAUCAGGGAGGCGAUGGAUUUUUAGAGAGAUAAGAUUCUCAUCUACCAGGGGUGUAUGUUUAAGACCACAGCACAUGAACAAACUAUCAGAAAGUAAAAAAUAAAACAAUACAAGACAUAGAAGAAGCUUUAUUGGUUAGCAGUAUAGGCUGAAGAUCAUGUGAUCUGAAGUCCCAGGAAAGAAGUAACAUUCCGCCGUCUCAAUACUUAUAGUACAAUAACCAAACAACCAGUUGUUAUUGUAGUGGUUAGAAAGUACCAAAAUGGCCUUCAAAACAGCCAUCUUCUCGGAAUGUGCUAUCGUGAAAUCCUCCUAUUGAUAGAAUCACAGAUAGAACUGUGUGUGGGUGGAUGAAGGCUGGUUUGUGCUGCCUAACCUGGACUGACUGUGCGGCUGGCUGAGGCUGCACACCUGUUGCACAUUGAGCAAUCAGUGUGCAACAUGUUAAACCAGCCGUCACCACACAUCUCCUGCAUGGUAACCCGGAGCCCCAUGUAUCUCAUAGUCAUAUAUCGUUGUCUGCAACCUUACAAUGAACCGGUCUUCCAACACCACUGCUCUGCUUCCUUCUCUGGAGGAGCAGAGCUUAAGUUACCUAGGUGGAGUGUGGCAGCAUUGUUACAAACUCGAAUGCACCUGGAUACAUUUCACUCAGAGAAGUAAGACCUGAGGAAAUGUUGGUGGCCUCAUCUCAUGGUAUCCCGCCGAUGUAUUUUGAACCUCUGAUGCACGCCUCACGCUCCCUCUGUAGAGACGGAAGCUAUAAGUGACACUCUGACGUAUGGCUACCUCCUCCCCGUGCGUUCUUGUGUACAGACUGCCCACUGUGAGAGGUGCACAUGAGAGGCGUUGUGCACGGAUAUGGCAUCCUGGUGCUGCCUGGCUGUCAUCACACUGUUGCUACGCGACGUGGUCGUCAUGGUGUGACCAUCCUGUUCGCUACGUGGUUGUCGUGGUGUCAUCACACUGUUGCUACGCUACGUGGUCGUCAUGGUGUGCUCACCCUGUUCGCUACGUGGUUGUCGUGGUGUCAUCACACUGUUGCUACGCUACGUGGUCGUCAUGUUGUGACCACCCUGUUUGCUACGUGGUUGUCGUGGUGUCAUCACACUGUUGCUACGCUACGUGGUCCUCAUGGUGUGACCACCCUGUUCGCUACGUGGUUGUCGUGGUGUCAUCACACUGUUGCUACGCUACGUGGUCGUCAUGGUGUGCUCACCCUCUUCGCUACGUGGUUGUCGUGGUGUCAUCACACUGUUGCUACGCUACGUGGUCGUCAUGGUGUGACCACCCUGUUCGCUACGUGGUUGUCGUGGUGUCAUCACACUGUCGCUACGCUACGUGGUCGUCAUGGUGUGACCACCCUAUUCGCUACGUGGUUGUCGUGGUGUCGUCACACUGUCGCCAUCACGCUGUUGCUACGCGGUCCUCAUUGUGUCAGCACACUGUUGCUACUCUACAUGGUCGUAUUGUUUUGAAGCCCUGGAGUUUAUUAAAUAUGGCACGGGAUGUUGACCCUUCACCCACAGCCGGAGGUAAUGGGGAGGGAGGACCCCCGAGGUGUGUAGAUGGGGGGCCCCCCUGCCAGCCGGGUGGGUACUAGACCUGUACACUUGAGUGGAGUACAGAGUUCUUUAUUAUCCCCACAGGGGCCGUUCAUAUUGCAGCGAGCAGCAGAGGAAACCACAAACAUAAAGGCACGUGAGCAUAGAAAACCAUCAUUGAAUAACGGCAUCAGCAGUGAACAGUCGGUCUCCACAGACUCUCCAGUUCCACGGUUAGGCUGAGGUUAGCCUCAGGGAUGGAGGAGGGGAUCGAAUCGAUGACCACUGCCACAUCUAGGAAUUCCCAUAUCUACACCCUGCGGGACGAAGGGCAGACUGAAUAGAGUGUGUGUGUGUGUGUGUGUAGUCACUUUUCUGGUAGUGACUGGGUUAGUGUCAUUUCUGAACACAUCCUCACCAGUAGUGAAGGGACCGAAUCAGUUAGAUUUGGCCUGAUUUAGUCUAUAAUGUAAGUAAAAUUGGAUAUUCUCAAGUCACAGGAGCCUGACAAAAUGAAAGAGGAAAGCACAUCAAUAUUAGCAUUUCUGAAGCUUAAAUUGCACAUUUUUGUAUUUUUGACUUGAUACAUUAACAAACUAAUGAAUUAUUUAUCUAAAUUAUAUCUGUUAAUCCUAACGGCACAAGAGGGCUACAGCUUUAGAAGUGGAAAUUACGCAUGGUGAGAUUGUAGUGCUAAUAAUUAAAUGCUAUGGCUGCAAGUCCUCUGAAACUAAGAAAAUCAACUUUAAAAGUUUUGUAUCAACAUUCAUCUUCCUGUGUUGUAUUUUGUCUGUUUGAUUUGAACCUGCACUAUUAAACUUCUGCUGAUUAUUUUUGCUACCGGUAAAUAAAUAUCUGAAGCAAACAUUUCUUAAGAAAACGUGCCAAUUAGUCAAUGCAUCCAGUGAAGUUCUCUAUUAUUCAUAUUAUUCUGGUCCACUUUUGCCCUUCCCCUGCUAUUGGGUACACUUGCAUAGUGCCAGUAUAACAAAGUAAGCAAAUUGGAAGUUGGAUAUGUUUAACUUAUAUUUUGAAUACUUUUCACAGUGCAGCUUCCCACCCAAAGUGAACAUCUUCUCUUUGAAAAACAGUUAUGUUCUAUUCAAGGAAGUGAGUGAGAAAAGGCUGGUGUUUCUGUAAUCUCUUGUCUACCAUGCCAGUCGCUAUGGCGACAACCUGCCUGGAUCCGUGCUGAAAACCAAACUAAACAAAUUACAGACUUUUGUCGAUUUUAUUAUUCAAUGUAGAUUCUAAAGAUAACGGUUAAAUCAGUUAAAUAAGUAGUUAUUUUAAGUUAUUAAAAGACUAGUUCAUAAUUAUGUUACAUGACCUGAAUUUGUUUUGUGUUUUUUCACCAUAUGUGCCGUGAUCUCCUUCACAAACCUUCCAUGACCUGAACUUCCUCUAUUCAGAAGAGGCGCUGACAGAAAAAAAGCUAAAUGUACAAUAUUUCUUUUUUUCAACAAUUUGGGAGGCCUGUUCUUGUAUAUUUCAGCGGCAAUCACACAGCAGCUUCUUCAGGCCAUGUUUUUGAUUGGUUCAAAUAGGGGCACGGUGAUGUCAACAGCUGUUGCGGCCAUCACUGGCCAAUUAGAAGCAUUGUUUACUGAAAAAAAUAAAACCCUUUCUUGCCACUCUAAACCAACCAACAACUUAUUCCCUUAUUCACGCGUUGGCAGUUAAAAAACAAGUUCUGCUUCAACAUAGAGAACUGGAUGCUGUGCCUUAAUAAGUCUUUGCAUCUUCAUGCAAACACCUUCUAAAAUCAUGGUAAUUCUGCUGGCCUAUAAGAGGUCAGAACCCCCGUAGCCGUAUUAAUGAGUUGCUUAAGAAAGAGACUUUCAGAUCACUAACACUAUUAUUUGUCUGCAUGCUCCCUUGAUAUUACCUAAACAGCAUACCUCCAGUAAUUGCAACACGAUUAUUUGAACUACCAACGUUGGAACAUGUGACGAUCAUGCUUUUUAUUUUUUUUAAAUCACUCUUCCUCCGAGCUCGCGAUUUCCGUAACGACAAAUGCUAUGAAUACUAAUUAAACGGCUGCAUGUGGGUGCAUGGAUCAUUGCUCUCCGCUGAUUAAGGAACGAUAGGAGAGACUAUAUAAAUCAAAGACAACCUACCCAUCUAAUUAGCUGGCCCAGCCAUUAAAUCCACUAACAAGCAACCGAGGUGGUUCUUCCCCACAUAAUCUUCCCUGUGAUUACAUGAUGCCGAUGCGACCGUCGAACUCUCUGUUCGUCUCUGUUUUCACGGUAAAAAAAUGAAAAGCGGACCGUGAAAGUAGGGUGGGACUUAAACGACUACCCCAUCUCUGAGUAAGGGAAUGCAGUAGGUAGAUGAGUGGAGGAAUCGUUACAAUUUUGUGCUCGAACAACAGCCAUAAUUCAUACUUUUUUCUUCACUUGUUCCCAAGGGCAUACAGGGGACCUGGUCAUUUCAAUUACAGAAUUGUGUUACGCAGUUUUGACCAAUUUUAAUAUUCCUUUUAUAUCAAUUAAUUAUCCCUGACAGCAACAUUAUAUCAAGGUAUAAACCGUGAGUAUGAAGGACGGACCAUUACCUUAUGUUUUUAAUUACUUCCCCAUCAUUUAUGUGUCGCACCCCCCCCCCCCCCCCCAAUUUGCACAUCAGCUAGCUAACCCACAACGGACAAACUACGGCUCAGCUCAAAACCGUGGCAGCUAGCAGGCAAGCGGCUAGUCCAGGACUUGCCCUCCAGGCACAUCGACUCCAGGGUUAAUGGCUAACAUGCUAACAUACUGUCUCUCACAGAGGGGAAGAUGCUCAUCAGUGUGGUUGUUAUUUUUGUA